rnacentral:rRNA from 1 species
CCAUGAAGCUGGAUUCGCUAGUAAUCGCGCAUCAGCCACGGCGCGGUGAAUACGUUCCCGGGCCUUGUACACACCGCCCGUCAAGCCAUGGGAGCCGGGGGUGCCUGAAGGCCGUGACCGCGAGGAGCGGCCUAGGGUAAAACUGGUGACUGGGGCUAAGUCGUAACAAGGUAUC